AAAAAAGAAAAAGUGUAGUAAUCAGGAUAACAGAAAUAAAGGGUAUGGAAGAACAAAAGGUCAUGGGUAGAGUAAUACAGGAUGCCCAAAUGCGUGGGAGUUACCUAGCAGAAGAGGAGGCUGUUGGAUAAAGCGGUCAUAAUCCCAUAGGGAUGCUCACUGGUGACCAAACAGUCCACACUGUUCUGGGGGACCAGGGACAGGAUGUCAGUGGUCACAGAGAAACAGCGGGGAAAGCCAGGUCCUUCAGAGAGAUUCCUGCAGGAGAGGCAUUGAGGAGGGAAUGAAGCAGAUUAAACCCAGAUGUUCACUGGGUUUUCCAGCCAUUUACUUCUCCUACUUCUCAUCCCUGACUCUUUUAUCCCUGGAAGAACAGAUCUCCAGGCCACGGGAGACCCAGCCAUGAGACACCACUCGAUGGUGCUGAGACAGCAGAGCUGUUGGCCUCUGCCAGAGCUGCGCUGCGCAGGGCUUGCUAUGUUCAGGUGGUUCGUACAUAUAAGGUUGAUGUCUGCCAUACACACUGCACAUGCCAAGCCUUUGAGUGUGCAGAUGCCACUGGGAAUCGGACCCCUUCAGCCACUCAAGUCCUUUCAUCGCCUCUACUAGAGCUGAAUUAAAUACAAUCUAUACCUAUCCCCUUCCACUUUCUUUUAUGAUGUCUUCUUCUAGUCUCAUUGCUCCUCGUAGGAGCUGAAGGUUUUGUUUGUGACCCAGGGUAUUUUAUUAAAGAAGUAUAUCCAGAAGUGUUCCUAACACUGAACAGUGCAAAAACGGCAUGAUUGCUUUUAGUGCCUCUCAUUGAACAGAAAAUAUUUUAAUAACCCAAAAGACUCUUCAGUGAACAGUGCUCAAUUUAUAGCAUAUUUAAAUAUUUCUACAUUUGGUACCCCAAGAUUGAAUUCCAAUACUUUUUUUUUUUUGUAUCUCUAAGCAUUUUAAUAUG